CUCCCUCUUUUUUUUUCUUCCUCUUUCUCUCUCUCUAUUUCUCUCAAUUUCUCAUUUUCUUCUUCCGGUUCGAAUCGUCGGUUCGAUACGGUAUAAAACCAUACCGAACCGUACCGCCGGUCGAUCGAAACGGCCGGCGGUACCGGUUCAGCAAACCUUGGGGGAUAGGGUUUUUACACUGGAUUAACUAAUUUACAACCAUUUUUGCACUAUUGAUGUGAACAUGCUACCAAAAUUUGAUUCACAAUCAAUGUGAUCUACAAAAAAGCAAUUUGGACAUGCCCAGACCAAAGCCAAGG
rnacentral:lncRNA from 1 species